rnacentral:rRNA from 1 species
AACGCGAAGAACCUUACCUGGGUUCGAAAUGCAGGUGUAAGCCUCAGAGAUGAGGUCCCCUCUUCGGAGGCACCUGUAUAGGUGCUGCAUGGCUGUCGUCAGCUCGUGUCGUGAGAUGUUGGGUUAAGUCCCGCAACGAGCGCAACCCUUGUCCAUAGUUGCUAACGCGUAGUGGCGAGAACUCUAUGGAGACUGCCGGUGAUAAACCGGAGGAAGGUGGGGAUGACGUCAAGUCCUCAUGGCCUUUAUGUCCAGGGCUACACACGUGCUACAAUGGUCGGUACAAACCGUCGCAAACCCGCGAGGGGGAGCUAAUCGGAAAAAGCCGGCCUCAGUUCGGAUUGGAGUCUGCAACCCGACUCCAUGAAGCUGGAAUCGCUAGUAAUCGCGGAUCAGAACGCCGCGGUGAAUACGUUCCCGGGCCUUGUACACACCGAGUAUA